rnacentral:rRNA from 1 species
GGGUUGUGAGGUUAAGCGACUAAGCGUACACGGUGGAUGCCCUGGCAGUCAGAGGCGAUGAAGGACGUGCUAAUCUGCGAUAAGCGUCGGUAAGGUGAUAUGAACCGUUAUAACCGGCGAUUUCCGAAUGGGGAAACCCAGUGUGUUUCGACACACUAUCAUUAACUGAAUCCAUAGGUUAAUGAGGCGAACCGGGGGAACUGAAACAUCUAAGUACCCCGAGGAAAAGAAAUCAACCGAGAUUCCCCCAGUAGCGGCGAGCGAACGGGGAGCAGCCCAGAGCCUGAAUCAGUGUGUGUGUUAGUGGAAGCGUCUGGAAAGGCGCGCGAUACAGGGUGACAGCCCCGUACACAAAAAUGCACAUAUUGUGAGCUCGAUGAGUAGGGCGGGACACGUGGUAUCCUGUCUGAAUAUGGGGGGACCAUCCUCCAAGGCUAAAUACUCCUGACUGACCGAUAGUGAACCAGUACCGUGAGGGAAAGGCGAAAAGAACCCCGGCGAGGGGAGUGAAAAAGAACCUGAAACCGUGUACGUACAAGCAGUGGGAGCACGCUUAGGCGUGUGACUGCGUACCUUUUGUAUAAUGGGUCAGCGACUUAUAUUCUGUAGCAAGGUUAACCGAAUAGGGGAGCCGAAGGGAAACCGAGUCUUAACUGGGCGUUAAGUUGCAGGGUAUAGACCCGAAACCCGGUGAUCUAGCCAUGGGCAGGUUGAAGGUUGGGUAACACUAACUGGAGGACCGAACCGACUAAUGUUGAAAAAUUAGCGGAUGACUUGUGGCUGGGGGUGAAAGGCCAAUCAAACCGGGAGAUAGCUGGUUCUCCCCGAAAGCUAUUUAGGUAGCGCCUCGUGAAUUCAUCUCCGGGGGUAGAGCACUGUUUCGGCAAGGGGGUCAUCCCGACUUACCAACCCGAUGCAAACUGCGAAUACCGGAGAAUGUUAUCACGGGAGACACACGGCGGGUGCUAACGUCCGUCGUGAAGAGGGAAACAACCCAGACCGCCAGCUAAGGUCCCAAAGUCAUGGUUAAGUGGGAAACGAUGUGGGAAGGCCCAGACAGCCAGGAUGUUGGCUUAGAAGCAGCCAUCAUUUAAAGAAAGCGUAAUAGCUCACUGGUCGAGUCGGCCUGCGCGGAAGAUGUAACGGGGCUAAACCAUGCACCGAAGCUGCGGCAGCGACGCUGAUGCGUUGUUGGGUAGGGGAGCGUUCUGUAAGCCUGUGAAGGUGCGCUGUGAGGCAUGCUGGAGGUAUCAGAAGUGCGAAUGCUGACAUAAGUAACGAUAAAGCGGGUGAAAAGCCCGCUCGCCGGAAGACCAAGGGUUCCUGUCCAACGUUAAUCGGGGCAGGGUGAGUCGACCCCUAAGGCGAGGCCGAAAGGCGUAGUCGAUGGGAAACAGGUUAAUAUUCCUGUACUUGGUGUUACUGCGAAGGGGGGACGGAGAAGGCUAUGUUGGCCGGGCGACGGUUGUCCCGGUUUAAGCGUGUAGGCUGGUUUUCCAGGCAAAUCCGGAAAAUCAAGGCUGAGGCGUGAUGACGAGGCACUACGGUGCUGAAGCAACAAAUGCCCUGCUUCCAGGAAAAGCCUCUAAGCAUCAGGUAACAUCAAAUCGUACCCCAAACCGACACAGGUGGUCAGGUAGAGAAUACCAAGGCGCUUGAGAGAACUCGGGUGAAGGAACUAGGCAAAAUGGUGCCGUAACUUCGGGAGAAGGCACGCUGAUAUGUAGGUGAAGCCCCUCGCGGAUGGAGCUGAAAUCAGUCGAAGAUACCAGCUGGCUGCAACUGUUUAUUAAAAACACAGCACUGUGCAAACACGAAAGUGGACGUAUACGGUGUGACGCCUGCCCGGUGCCGGAAGGUUAAUUGAUGGGGUCAGCGCAAGCGAAGCUCUUGAUCGAAGCCCCGGUAAACGGCGGCCGUAACUAUAACGGUCCUAAGGUAGCGAAAUUCCUUGUCGGGUAAGUUCCGACCUG